rnacentral:lncRNA from 1 species
CUGCCAUGUAACAUGUACCUUUUGCCUUCUGCCACGAUUGUGAGGCCUCCUCAGCCACGUGGAACUACAAGGUCUCCAGAUUUGCCACCCAUGCUGAGUGCCGUGGUGUGAUCAUGGCUUAUUUCAACCUCAACCUCCCCCACUCAAGCGAUCCUCCUGCCUCAGCCUCUGGAGUAGCUGGGACUACAGGCACGCACCACCACACCCAGCCAUAAUUUGCCUCUUGCUGUAACUAAAAGUGCCUCACUACCACAAAUUAUGCAGUCAAGUCUCCCAUAUUUGGGGACAUCGCAGGGGUCAGCAUGUCCAGAGUGCAAUGGAUAAGCCUUGCCCUGGGAAAACCACCUUCGUGAUCAUGGUUAUCUCCCCUGCCAGAAAGAGAUUUAAAAGAACACCUGAAGGGAAAUAAGAAGAGAAACAGAAUAUGAAGAGGAUUCAACCAAAUAGAGCCAAUGAAGGAGACAGAGCAACUUAAAUAAUAAGAGCAAUUUUAAAAAAUGGGACAAAAAGGAAAGGAUACUCAGUGCAUAGUUG